UGGGAAUGGGAGUUGUCUACUUGUUCAAGCCU
rnacentral:piRNA from 1 species